rnacentral:rRNA from 1 species
UCGAAGCAACGCGAAGAACCUUACCAAGUCUUGACAUCCCAUUGACAGAGCAUGUAAUGUGCUUUCCCUUCGGGGCAAUGGUGACAGGUGGUGCAUGGUUGUCGUCAGCUCGUGUCGUGAGAUGUUGGGUUAAGUCCCGCAACGAGCGCAACCCUUAUCUUCAGUAGCCAGCAGUAAGAUGGGCACUCUGGAGAGACUGCCAGGGAUAACCUGGAGGAAGGUGGGGAUGACGUCAAAUCAUCAUGCCCCUUAUGACUUGGGCCACACACGUGCUACAAUGGCGUAAACAAAGAGAAGCGAGAGGGUGACCUUAAGCAAAUCCCAAAAAUAACGUCUCAGUUCGGAUUGCAGGCUGCAACCCGCCUGCAUGAAGUCGGAAUUGCUAGUAAUCGCGGAUCAGCAUGCCGCGGUGAAUACGUUCCCGGGCCUUGUACACACCGCCCGUCACACCAUGAGAGUCGGGGACACCCGAAGCCUGUUGCCUAACCGCAAGGAGGGCGCAGUCGAAGGUGGAUUCGAUAAUUGGGGUG